CCUACGGGGGGCUGCAGUAGGGAAUAUUGCUCAAUGGGGGAAACCCUGAAGCAGCAACGCCGCGUGGAGGAUGAAGGUUUUCGGAUUGUAAACUCCUUUUGUUAGAGAAGAUAAUGACGGUAUCUACGGAAUAAGAACGGGCUAACUCCGUGCCAGCAGCCGCGGUAAUACGGGGGGUGCAGGCGUUACUCGGAAUCACUGGGCGUAAAGGGCGCGUAGGCGGGAUAGCAAGUCAGAUGUGAAAUCCUAUGGCUUAACCAUAGAACUGCAUUUGAAACUGUUAUUCUAGAGUAUGGGAGAGGUAGGUGGAAUGCUUGGUGUAGGGGUAAAAUCCGUAGAGAUCAAGAGGAAUACUCAUUGCGAAGGCGACCUGCUAGAACAUAACUGACGCUGAUGCGCGAAAGCGUGGGGAGCAAACAGGAUUAGAUACCCUUGUAGUC
rnacentral:rRNA from 1 species